UGAUGACAAUCCGAUGUCUCGCCUUCCUUUUGGCAACCUGUAUGAUAGUAUUGCUCGUCCACUACAUAUUCACUCCCCAUUACAGAUCUCAGGCGACAACUACAGUCAAAGUGCGGUCUGAAAAACUUGUUCCAGUGAACGUCGUGGAGGUGGAGGAAUUGCACAGAGUCAGGGCGGAGACCGGGAGCUCGCAAGACCUCGCGGCCGCGAUCCAGCUCCUGAAGGAACAGCGGGAGGCCAG